GUCCCACAAGGCAUUCCAGGGAGAUCUCUUAAAAUUCCACAGCAGCCGGAGACUUGCCUCUUCCUGCAGGGAUCAUCUGAGUUCCUCGCUUGCUGACACAGCCGUGAUCUCUGUCUCAGUUCCAGAGGCAGCGGGGUGAUUUUUGCCAGACGGACCCUUCGGAAGAAGAAUGAAUUUACCAGGCCAUUUGGCCGGGGAGUUUUGCGUUUGCAUGAAGGAGCGCGUGUUUAUUUCCUCAUCCAAAACCAAGUGCUUCCUGGUGCUGGGAAUGGUGCAAGGUCGCUGCUGUGGGCCGCUCUGUGGCAUUUGCAUUCUAUGUGCGGGGAAGCAGAACCCUUGGGAAUGCUCGCUCCAGCCUGAACACUGAGCUAAGGUCAAACAGGAUCCUGCUCCCAUUUCUUCUGACUCCAAAUCCUGGCCUUCUAGGCAAACCAGGUAAGGAGGGAGAAGUUCUGUCCCUGAACACCAGCCUUGGGCUAUUGUUUACCUUCACUGAAAACUGCAUCAUGGGUAAAAAAUAAGGCUUAAAGGUUUACUCUUCCUGCUUCUCCACCAAGCCGGUCGCCAUGGCACUGGUCUCGGGAAGACAACGUGCAUCGGCGACACCACAGUGCUCUUGCCAGAACUUUAUCUAUUGAGUAACAGAGCCAGGGCCAGGGGAGCAGGGAAGCCUCAAGCCCUGGCGGUGACAGUAGGAUUGAUACUGAGAGGACUGUCCUGCAGGUCCUUUGCCAGUCCAGCCUAUGAGAGGGGAAGAAUGCUGGCCAACACCUCCAUCACCGAUCGGCAAGAAAAGCAGUUGUUAUUUGCCAUCCUUUGAGUUCUCCAUUGUAACCUUCUGUCCAGGGGUUUGGGACUCUCCAUUUCUUUAUUUGUAAAAUGGGCAUAGGUGGGGGAAAGCGUGAACGGAUCAAGCCAAUUGGUCCCAGAAGAUGUUCCAGGCUCUAAAAAGAGAAAACACAUAUUGGACUCAUUUGUGGUUCCAAAAUUGGCAGGAGUGACUCGGGUGUACGGCAAAGGGGUGGAUUCCUCUAUGUAAAACUUCCAGAGGUAGAGAACAGCGGGAGGCAGACCUGGGGCAGCUGGGCUCCUCACCCAACACCAUGGGUAUCCCUGGGAAUUGGCCGUCCCAAGCUGAGAUGGAAGUAACCCCUGGCCAAGCUGAGGCGCUAAGAACAGCCUCUUAAGGCCACUUGCUUCAGGAAGACAGUGAGGAGCUGAGGUUCCAGAGCUGACUUGGGAAAGAGAGUCAGUGCCCCGGCUGUGAGAGGGCUCAGCCAGUGAGGGCGUGGCCUUGAGAAUGGGAGAGGAGAGGAGGAAGGGGGCUCAUUUAUCAGCGCAAAACUCGUCAAAGCUGUCAGGGUCUCCCAUGGAGUUAUUCUCUUAACUAACGGGAACCUGGCUUGGAGAUGUGACUUGCUCCGGGGCACACCAUUAACUGAUGACAAAGGUUCUUUGGUUUUUUUUAAGGCAAGGUCUCAGUACGCAGUCCAUUUUGACUUGGAAUUCCAUUUGUGGCACAGGCUGGCCUCUAACUUAUGAUCCUCCUGCCUCAGUCUCUUCCAUGCUGAGAUGACAGACAUGUGCCACCAUUCCUGGCUGAUGAAGUUGAUGUUUAGCAUGGACCCUUUGCAUGAUAAAGGAGAUGUUCAGAUGGUAGCCAGGAAAGGAGCACAAGGAACUAAAAAAGUGCCCUUAGGGGAGCACAGGGGAUUGGAUUUCUCCAGCGAGGAAGAGUGAUGUAUGCCAGGCUGACAGACACAGGAGAUGUCCUUCUGCAGAGCCCAGGAGCUUGUCUGCACAGCGAGGGGAUGGAUAAUCAAAGACCUGCGUUCAGGGAGAGGUAGACACAGAGAGCUGAGCUAUGCAGUGAACACAGCUCCUGACAAGAUGGGGUGGAGAGGAAGGAUGAGCAGAUGUCAUCUGGAGGUGCACUGUGGCUGUCCUUCAACAGAGAAGAAAGACAGAGGCCCA